CUAUUGGAAACGAUAGCUAAUACCGCAUAAGAGUAGAUGUUGCAUGACAUUUGCUUAAAAGGUGCAAUUGCAUCACUACCAGAUGGACCUGCGUUGUAUUAGCUAGUUGGUGGGGUAACGGCUCACCAAGGCGACGAUACAUAGCCGACCUGAGAGGGUGAUCGGCCACACUGGGACUGAGACACGGCCCAGACUCCUACGGGAGGCAGCAGUAGGGAAUCUUCGGCAAUGGACGGAAGUCUGACCGAGCAACGCCGCGUGAGUGAAGAAGGUUUUCGGAUCGUAAAGCUCUGUUGUAAGAGAAGAACGAGUGUGAGAGUGGAAAGUUCACACUGUGACGGUAUCUUACCAGAAAGGGACGGCUAACUACGUGCCAGCAGCCGCGGUAAUACGUAGGUCCCGAGCGUUGUCCGGAUUUAUUGGGCGUAAAGCGAGCGCAGGCGGUUUGAUAAGUCUGAAGUUAAAGGCUGUGGCUCAACCAUAGUUCGCUUUGGAAACUGUCAAACUUGAGUGCAGAAGGGGAGAGUGGAAUUCCAUGUGUAGCGGUGAAAUGCGUAGAUAUAUGGAGGAACACCGGUGGCGAAAGCGGCUCUCUGGUCUGUAACUGACGCUGAGGCUCGAAAGCGUGGGGAGCGAACAGGAUUAGAUACCCUGGUAGUCCACGCCGUAAACGAUGAGUGCUAGGUGUUGGAUCCUUUCCGGGAUUCAGUGCCGCAGCUAACGCAUUAAGCACUCCGCCUGGGGAGUACGACCGCAAGGUUGAAACUCAAAGGAAUUGACGGGGGCCCGCACAAGCGGUGGAGCAUGUGGGUUUAAUUCGAAGCAACGCGAAGAACCUUACCAGGUCUUGACAUCCCGAUGCUAUUUCUAGAGAAUAGAAAGUUACUUCGGUACAUCGGUGACAGGUGGUGCAUGGUUGUCGUCAGCUCGUGUCGUGAGAUGUUGGGUUAAGUCCCGCAACGAGCGCAACCCCUAUUGUUAGUUGCCAUCAUUCAGUUGGGCACUCUAGCGAGACUGCCGGUAAUAAACCGGAGGAAGGUGGGGAUGACGUCAAAUCAUCAUGCCCCUUAUGACCUGGGCUACACACGUGCUACAAUGGUUGGUACAACGAGUUGCGA
rnacentral:rRNA from 1 species